UACGGAGGGGACUAGCGUUGUUCGGAAUUACUGGGCGUAAAGCGCACGUAGGCGGAUUUGUAAGUCAGGGGGGAAAUCCCGGGGCUCAACCCCGGAACUGCCUUUGAUACUGCGAAUCUCGAGUCCGGAAGAGGUGAGUGGAAUUCCUAGUGUAGAGGUGAAAUUCGUAGAUAUUAGGAAGAACACCAGUGGCGAAGGCGGCUCACUGGUCCGGUACUGACGCUGAGGUGCGAAAGCGUGGGGAGCAAAAAGG
rnacentral:rRNA from 1 species